CCCACCCUCCUGUUGUGGUUAGACCCAGUAGUUAGAAGUUAGAGUGAGCAGGGCAGUGGACAGGUUGUGGAAGAUGGCCAUUAGAAGGCUGAAGUUAUGCUGUGGAGAAAAAAGGUAUAAACAUUCUGAGGCUCUAAAAUCGUGUGCAUACUGGGAUUGGUGGAGUCAGGAUGGAAAUUAUGUCCUCCUCAGCUGUGGGAACAACACUUCCUUUGACUAUGAAAGCGUAGGACAAAGAGAAGUUGAAGAAAAUAGACAUGAGGAGUAGGUGAAGUCAGAAAAGGAAAUUAGCUUGGUGGACGAAAGAUGGCAGCUUGUGUAAGCUGUGAUCUUACUCCUCAACGUGGACAGAAGAGCAGCAGAAACAGUCACUGUGGAAUCCUAAGGAAUGUGGAUCAGCCCCAGUCCAGACCUUCUCCAAUUCUGCUUCUAGCAAGUGCCUCAGGAGAUCUGUGCACACACUGGAGUUUGAGACCUGACCUAGGAGACAACUUUGUAGUUGCAGCAUCAUCCACUCACUCCCCUCUCCUCUUAAAAUAACUCUAGAAAAGUAUUUUCUGAAUCUUGUCUUUUCAUCCACAGCAUAUCUUGAUCAAAACAUUCUUAGAAUACCAUCUGAUUUUUAUAGCUUCUCAUAGUCUGCCUUUCCCGGUAAAGUACAAUGAAACUUCUUUAUAUUUCACAUAUACACAUUCUACUUGGGACUUUUCUCUUGUUCCUAAUUUUUUUCUGUUAUAUACCAUAGGGUUAAAGUACAAAGAAGAGAAUUAUAGUCUUAUCAGCAAUAAAAAUGUGUACUAAUGAGUGCAAUA